rnacentral:rRNA from 1 species
CCCUUAGAUGUUCUGGGCCGCACACGCGCUACACUGAAGGAGGCAGCGUGUACUCCUGGAUCGAAAGAUUUGGGUAACCCGCGAAUCUCCUUCGUGCUAGGGAUUGAGGUUUGCAAUUAUCCUUCAUGAACGAGGAAUUCCCAGUAAGUGCGAGUCAUAAGCUUGCGCUGACUACGUCCCUGCCCUUUGUACACACCGCCCGUCGCUACUACCGAUUGAAUGAUUUAGUGAGGACUUCGGACUGGGACCGAUGCGGCUUUCGGGCUGCGUCGGUAUUCUGGAAAGAUGUCCAAACUGUAUCAUUUAGAGGAAGUAAAAGUCGUAACA